AGUGAGGAAUAUUGCACAAUGGGGGAAACCCUGAUGCAGCAACGCCGCGUGGAGGAUGACGCAUUUCGGUGUGUAAACUCCUUUUAUAUGUCAAGAAAAUGACGGUAGCAUAUGAAUAAGCACCGGCUAACUCCGUGCCAGCAGCCGCGGUAAUACGGAGGGUGCAAGCGUUACUCGGAAUCACUGGGCGUAAAGGACGCGUAGGCGGGUUGGUAAGUCAGAUGUGAAAUCCUACAGCUUAACUGUAGAACUGCAUUUGAAACUACUAACCUAGAGUAUGGGAGGGGGAGAUGGAAUUAGUGGUGUAGGGGUAAAAUCCGUAGAUAUCACUAGGAAUACCGAAAGCGAAGGCGAUCUCCUGGAACAUUACUGACGCUAAGGCGUGAAAGCGUGGGGAGCAAACGGGAUUAGAUACCCCGGUAGUCCACGCCCUAAACGAUGUUCACUAGUCGUCGGGAUGCUAGUCAUCUCGGUGAUGCACUUAACAGAUUAAGUGAACCGCCUGGGGAGUACGGUCGCAAGAUUAAAACUCAAAGGAAUAGACGGGGACCCGCACAAGUGGUGGAGCAUGUGGUUUAAUUCGAAGAUACGCGAAGAACCUUACCUAGCCUUGACAUUGAUAGAAUACACCAGAGAUGGAGUAGUGCCUUUCGGGGAACUUGAAAACAGGUGCUGCACGGCUGUCGUCAGCUCGUGUCGUGAGAUGUUGGGUUAAGUCCCGCAACGAGCGCAACCCUCGUCCUUAGUUGCCAGCAGGUUAAGCUGGGCACUCUAAGGAGACUGCCUUCGUAAGGAGGAGGAAGGUGAGGACGACGUCAAGUCAUCAUGGCCCUUAUGGCUAGGGCUACACACGUGCUACAAUGGGGCGUACAGAGUGUUGCGAUACCGCGAGGUGGAGCUAAUCACUUAAAGCGUCUCUCAGUUCGGAUAGCAGUCUGCAACUCGACUGCUUGAAGCUGGAAUCACUAGUAAUCGUAGAUCAGCAAUGCUACGGUGAAUACGU
rnacentral:rRNA from 1 species